AGUUGUUGGACAGCAAGGUGGACUCGGUUCCUGACUCCGAUUCUCUGUUCACCCUAGAUUAUGGAAGUGGCAGCGGUUUGUACUACAAUACCAUCAUUGAUGACGAGGAUUACUACCUGUACAACUACUAUGGUUCCGGAAGUGGUGAUAUAUGGAAUGUGUUUGAUUAUUCAUCUGGUAGUGGUGACGUCGGCCUCCUUACUACAGCUGCCACUACUAUGGAAGAAGACAUCGGAGGAACUGACAAAGAAGAACCAGACAUUCAUUUCCCUGACAAAGGACGUAGUACAACAGAAGCUACAAAAACCGACGACAACUCUUCUGGAAGCCUUAUCAUUGACACAACCACCGUUAUCUCUGUCUUCGUUUUCCUGGUUACUUUGCAAUUUCUGCGACCCCACUGAGGUCAAAGAUCACCAGUAUUCGUGCCAUUUAAAGUGAAGGAAGUCAAGAGCUGUGUUAUAUUACGUUAUCAUUUGUAUGUAAAUGGCCAUUCGCACAAGAUGUGUUGGAAAGGUCAAAGGUUAUAUAUAGUCUCAUUCUGAUUAAUUUACAUCGGACAAACUGUGACUUGCCUCGCAUCUAGAAUAAAGUUUUGUGUAUUGAUUCAUAAAUCAACAGCCUUCCAGAAAAACAGGCUCAACAAAAAUAUUACUUGUUGUGCUCUGUUUAUUUUUUUUCGCUUUUUUAUGUUUAUACAAAGAGAAGACACACCUAUGUUUUCUGUUUUCGUGUGACUUCUCAUAUUUUGCUUUUGUUAUUGUUGAUUUUUAAGUGCCAUUUAUUUCCUUAUUUGUUUGCUACUCAGCAUCUAGAUCUAUGCAUUUCAUGUUUAGAAUUGCCGUCAGACGGUGCAUAAGUAACCAGUGAUUGUCUUAUUAAAAGUGAUUGAAUUUAAACCUGAUAUUGCUUUUAAAAACUUGCGUCUUAGAUUUAAAAGCAUGAGCUCUGGCCCUGUGAUCUAACCAUUUCUAAGAUAUAGUGGGAUAAACUUUAAUAUCUUGGUGCCUGUAAGUUAUAGAAGAGUAAACUAUAGCACGUUGAUGUUUUUAGCGUAUAAAAGAAUAAACUAUAAUAAGUUGAGUCAAGUCACAAACGGCCAGAAGAUGGCUUUCAUGUUGUGAUACUUUAUUCUGUAUUUGUUAUUAGAUAAUAUUUGUUCAAAAUUAUUAUGAGUAUGGCUGUUAAGGUGAAAGCACUGGAUAGAUGCCAACUGAAAAGAAGCCAGGACGCAUGCUUGACCAGGCGACUAUUACUAUUGGCUUGUGAUAAACAUGUACAGUGGUGAAUAUUGAUUAAUUAAAAUUCAUACUUUGGAUGUUUACUUUGUUAGCAAAAACAAAUGUUGACUAUAUAAAAGUUAAAACUGGCAAAAAUGUGAGUGAAGUGUUUAUUUAUAAUCUACAAGGUUGUUUCAUCAAAUAAUACUGUUUUGAUAAAAACAGAUGACUGCGCUGUUUGGCAGAUCAUAAUAAAGGCUUAACUGACAUUAGGCUUACACUUGUAGACAUUAAAAAGUGUCGCAUUUCUGUGAUCACCCAUACGGAAUUAUUUCCUUUAAUUUAGGGUGAAAGUGGCCCUUUUUGUGGCCGACUAUUAAGAGUAACAGGCUGCUUAGCUUUCUAUUAGGAGACUGUAUUUUUAUACACUUACUGAAAAAUAUUUGAUAACAAUGAUGAUAAUUGAAGUCUGUUUUAUUUCAAAUAGGCAAUGUAGAGCAAAUUUGUUUGAUAUUUUGUUAUCUGAAUUUAAACUGAUAUGAUGAUUAUGUUUCAAACGAUUAUGAAAACGCAAAUGUAGAUCAUAUUAAUAACCUAUUCCUGUAAGUAAGUCCACCACAAUAACUGACAUUUCAUACAACACGUACAUUUCAAGUUAUAUAACUAUUAACGUCCAAUUAUGGACUAAUAAAGCUUGUAAUCCAUUUAUAAUACUGUCUACGACAUAUCGAAGCUUUCAUUAACCUCAUUUUAUAAUAUGUUAGAAAUCUAAGGAAGUAUAAAGGAUAUCAAAAAUAAAUCAUAUACUUUGCCAUUAUGUUCUUUUUUUUUCUAGCCACAUCAUCUAUCCAUCCAGUUGUUUUAAAAUAUUUCGACAACAUUUCUGAUUAAAUAUUUUUAAAACAUAAAAUAUAUGUUAGUAAUUUUAAACAGAAAAGUUUACUAGAACGAAGUUUUCUCCGAGAAAGUGUACAGAUAUUCUUUUUCGUACUUAUCUAGUUUACUUCACGUAUUAACACCUUUACUCCUUACACACACAAACACAAAUUAGCUGCUUCAAGAAGUAUUGAAAUAUAUCUGUGUUGUGUUUUUGUGGAUAUAAAGAUUAAUUUGUGAUGAAAGAAACGGAGAAUAUAGCAAUAUAUAUAAAGAAUUGCACAAAAACACUUGUGAGGAACGGAUCCAUGAAAAAAUCGUGUAUGAUAUAACAUUACACACAUAUACAAACAAAAAAAAUAAAAAACACUUCUUUCACGAAACAAUUCUUUAAAAUAUGCAAGUUAUUAUUUUUAAGUUUAUAAAUUGUUUCGUGUAAGAAGUCUGCCUAGCAAUAAAAUUGGUAUGGAAGUUAGUAUUCUAAAUUCUAAAUCGACAAGGAUUUCGAUGACAAAACCUCAUCCAUUUCUUUAUUUGCUAUGUCACUAGAUGGCACUGCAAACGUAUUAAUAUUUCAAGGUGUGAAUAAAUCGAAUAACAACGUGCACAAUCGAACUUCGGUACACGUGUUCUUCCAUUUCACGUGCCUUCCGAAGUCGCUGUAGCAGGGUGACAUCUUACAGCUAAUGCUUUUAGUAUUGAAAAUUGUAAGUUCAAAACAUUUCAACUGACAUAGCCAUAAAUCUUCUACUUUGUUAAAUUACUUAUUUAAAGUUGAACCAUUUGUUUUUUUUAUCGAUUUAAAUAUUGUACGAAUUGUUGACAAAAUAGUGAUUUUGUAUUAUUUUCAAUGAAAGGUGCAAUGCUACUUGAAACACUAUUCGUCGAAUGAUUAUAGGUAUAUUAAAAUAUGCAAAGGCUUUGGGUUCUGCCACAUUUUAUUUUUAAACUUUUUUUCUUUUAGUAAAAUAGCCAAGUUUUUGAAUAUUUCAAUUAUUUUUGUCGGGUUUAGACUUCAUCUACAACAUUUAUUUUCAAUAAACUAACUAUAUCAAAAACAUCUAAGAUACUCUGUGUCUAUCAGUCAAGUGUAAUGGCUUAAAAGCUUAAUCGUAUUUACUUGGAAAUAAGUCUCAGAACAUCAAUUCGAUGAUUCUUUAAGUUUAUUAUCUUUGUUUAAAUUUGUGCUGUGUUCUUAAAGUCAAACUUGAUUUGAUUCCGAAAUUCAGUAACAUGAGUUAAAUGGAUGAAAAGUCUUGACAUAUAUUCAGUGCUUUAAGAUUCGUGGUUUCGCUGCUAUCGGUUUUAAACCAUGAUCUUCCGGAUUUGUGUAUCCAGAGGGCUGAAUAACGGAAGUAAUCCGUAAAAACAUUAAUAAAAGUUGGAUGGUAUAUGACGUUAUAUAUAUAUAAUAUAUUUAAAAAGUAUAAGAACAACGUCAUAUACCAUCCAACUGCAUUAUCUCCAGUAAAACUUUAGAAAAAUAUCCGAAGAGGCAUGCCCCCCUCAGUGUGACUUUGCCUUCCAUUUGCCUCCAGAAGUAGCGACCCUCUUUCAUAGAUUUCUACUUACGUCCAUUUGUAUGACUUGACCAACCUUUCUGCAUGUCGCGUCCAAGAGGUUUAACUGUAUACCAUGAUAAAACAGUGUUGAAGCAAUUAUUGAUUAGACUAAAUCAAGUCCUCUGCUGGACAGAUAAAAAAUAAGUGGAUUUCAUCGAUUAGCUUCAAAAUUAACUGAAACAUAAUAUGGCUCUUUUGUUGAAUAUUUUGUUAAGUAAGUAUUAAAGAAACUGUGUCUACUAUAUGAAACCACGUCCCCUCAAUGGGGAUAAAUUAACAGAGUAACGCAAUGGUAUCUCUUAGUAACAAAAUUCUCUUAGUUACUGAAGCUUUCUUUGUAACAUAUCUCCGGUGGUCACCGUUGUCCCUUAGUCACUGUAGUCCCUUAGUAACUAAUCUCACUUGGUUACUGUUGUUUAUUAGUAGCGAAUCUCACUUGGUUAUUGAUGUUUCUUCGUUACUAAUCUCACGUGAUUGUUGUUGUUUCUUAGUUACUAAUCUCACGUGAUUGUUGUUGUUUCUUGGUUACUAAUAUCACGUGAUUAUUGUUGUUUCUUGGUUACUAAUCUCACGUGAUUAUUGUUGUUUCUUAGUUACUAAUCUCACUUGGUUACUGUUGUUUCUUGGUUACUAAUCUUAUUUGAUUACUAUUGUUUCAUAGUAGCAAGUCUCAAUUAAUCACUGGUGCUUUUUAUAUGCUUACAGUACAUUAAAAGAUUAGUUAUUCUUUUCGGAAUUAUCGUUUGGCAAUAUUUUGUUCUUGUUUUCUGAUUUAUUUGUAGUUAAGCGCAAAGCUGCACAAUGGGCUAUCUGUGCUCUACCCACCACGAGUAUCAAAAUCCGGUUUCUAGCGUUGCAAGUCCGCAGAAAUGUCGCUGUAAUGUAAUUGAUUGAAUAUAACUGAAUUAAUACGGCUCUUCUAUAUGUGUUAUAGAAAGUAACAGAUCUUGUUAGAUUUAGAUUUGUUUAGUUUAUUGCAUCUUUCUGAUGUAUUCUGUCAAAAAUAUGAAGUUUCUGAAACACCUUUUUCGUUUUUUAUUAGUAAAUAAACUAAAGCAUUUCAUUAAAGGCAGAAAGUGUGUGUUCUGAAGUUGUUUUACUGUUUGGAUUUUACAAAACAGCUAUGUCGAGAUAAUUGUAGAAAAUGUUCAGAUUCUCUCUUUUAAGAUUUGUUUUUAUUUAACACCGUCCACCAGGUGUGCUAUAUGAUGAGGAUUUUUUUGUACCUAUAAUGUCAUAUUAGUUAUGAUUGUUAGAAUAAUUUGAUAGUACAGUUACGACGAACAUAAGCUAAUAGUUUUUUAUGACAAUUUGUAUAAAUUUACUUUCCAUUAUUACUUUUUUUUUACAUUUUGAAUAUCACAAAGUCAAAAACGCAAUCAAGGAAGGAUAAUAUAAAUUUAGGACAAAGAGCAACGAAACUUGCAUUUACUCGUUUAAAUUCCGCACAGCGUGUCGUACUUGAUAAAGGGAUUUUCUUUACAUUCAAAAUUCUGAUAUCAUGCUUUGCGUUUUGUUUUACGUACGAGUUAUAUCAUUGAAAGUUCGCUGCGUGGAUGUUUAAUGCAUAUUUUUUCAGUUGUGAUUUUAUGUAUUAUUAUUGUUGUUAAAAUAUCAACUUGAAUAUAACCUGCCCUAUAAACUGUCUUUACUUGUAGUUUUGCCAGAGGUCCGAGAUGUGUGUAUAGUAAUAGAAACUUUGAUAUUCCAGUAUUGUUAUAGUUGUAUCCAGUUCAACUGUUCCCUCGUCUAAUACUUUGUUUGCUUAUCACCAUCAUUUCAUACUUUUCGCUGUUAGAAGUAAGAUGUUUAAUACUUAUACAAUGACCUAUUUUCAAGUGUUUUGUGCGGUAAAAAUUUCCUUUGGAAGAGAUAAGUGAAUAAAAGACAGUUCAUAAUUUAUCUUACACAUUUUUGGUCUAGAACUAUCAAUUGUUCUCGCUAAAAAAAAAGAAACUGUGGUUAAGUUUCAAAUUUUACAGUAUGUUGCUUAACCUGUGAUAAUGGUCUUAGGAAAUCAAAAGUGUUUAGCGAACCAAAACAAAAGAGAGCGAGAUAAAGGAAAGGAUGGCUAAGGCAGUUAAUAAAUUGAUUGGUUAGAGAACGUGUGAUAUUUAUAGGUGAGGUUUUAGACGGCUAAUAAAUUGAUUGGUUAGAGAACGUGUGAUAUUUAUAGGUGAGGUUUUAGACGGCGACUUCCAAAGAAAAAAAAGCUGUUGUUGGGAACUAAUAUAUUGAAUACUAAUCGGUAUUUACUUACUGGAUGCUAUUAUUGAUUAACUUGUAUCGAGCUUUUAUAUAAUAGCUCUCUAUUUUUAUAUUGUUUAUUAGCACUAGCUUACUAACCCAGCCAUUCCGUUUAUUAUAGAAUCACUAAUGUAUAUAACAACGUGUUGUGUAGCAUGUACAGCAUUAGGUUGUAGAGCAGAGUGAAAUAUCCUGUGAUUCUUCUAGUCCUGCACACAUUAAGUGAGCAGAAGACUGAGAAUGUACAUAAAGUGUUUGUUUGUGCUAAACGUAGUAUGAGUAGUGGGGAAACGUUAUUCCAAUUCAUGUAACCAAUGCCUGAUUACCUAUCCACGUUCACUAAAAUUACUAGUCCAUUUUAUUUUUCUUGUGCGUGCGUGAAUGUUUCGUGUUUUUUUUUUACUUCCAAAUCUGCAGUAUUGAGUGAAAACACCUUAUUUUAUAAGUAAACGAAGUGUAAAACAACAACAACAACAACAACAAAGGAAGAAGCAUAUUUUUGAAUAUGAUCUGACAAGUUCAGUUGCCAUGCCUUUACGUACACGAAGAAUUUAAGGUAACGCUAACUGUGUGAGUAAAUUUGAAAUGAGCACGAAACGCAGAACUUCUAGCUAAGCCUAACUUUGAAUAUUUCUCUAUUCCUUUCUUUUGUAACGAAUGAAUAAUUACCUUAGAUUUACAGAUUCUUAUUGAUUAUGUGUGUAAUUGUUUAGCACAGUGCUGAAAAUAAAAUCAAUACGUUACUAUAUUCUGUUUACUAAAUUAUUUUUGUAAUUGAAAUCACGAACAAGAACUAUACAAAACAGAAAUGCAAAAAAAUAUUUAUAUCAUCCCUGUUUUAGUAUUCGUUUGUGUGUUUACAAAUUUCCAUUAAUAAGGUGUAAUUAGCAGUAUAUAUAUUAGAAUUUGAUACUUUCACUCUUUAUCCAAGUAACAAUUUUUUGUCUUGUCAUAAGUAUAUCAUUAUCUAGCCUAAUAUAUAACCAGUUCGAGCUGAUUACGUCGUUUUGUACGUGGUGCCGAUUUUGUUGAAGCAAGUAUUGUUCCGUUUUUAAUGUAAAGAUGAAAACUUUUCACAUGUUUAGGUACUGAAGUCGGGCUGUUUAUCUGUGAUGGUUAGAAGGGAAUCGAAGUACAUGUUUGCAUCCGUCUUUACCUUACACUCCUCGUGAUAUCAUAGCCCAUACUUGAUAUAAAGAUGUUUUUUUAACAAUCGAAAUGACGUCAGUUAGAAAGUGGGCCGAGCAUGUUCUAGUUGUUAACGUGUCGGGCUGCGGAUAAAAGGAUCCAGAGUUCGAUGCAUGAUUCCUCAUAACACGUCACAUUCAGCUUUGGAUACCUUAUAAAGGUCACAGUCGACCUUCUUAUUCGGUUAAGAACUGGACAUGGUCCACUUGGCGAUGGAUGUUGUUGGGCAAUAGCUCAAAAUUAAGGACAGCUAAUGUGUGCAUAAGGUGCUUUUCACCAUUUGAUGUUAGUGUUUAUAUUGUGUGUCUUCGCAUGUAUUGUAAAAUAUGUUCCAUUCACCCACUCUCGUUUCUUUUCUUUUUCUUUUUUUUAUUUUGCUUUACCACGUACAAAAAUACGUGCUGGCCUAUUUCUGUCAGAUCUUACUCCCACGCUGUUCAACAUAACAUCUUUGAACAACACGUUAUAUCACAAAACGAAGACGCACAUUCAAGUCGUAAAACUGGCGGUAAAAUGAGGAUCCAGAUAUAUAUUAUAUCAAACAGUAAAUAUACAUAUUUAGAGGAAUAUUCUACGUUACUAACUAUACUAUAAUAUAAAACGGCUUUUGUUUCUGCGUGUCGAAUAUACUUCCAUUUCACGACCGUGAUUAUCAUGAAAUUUUCAUGUUUUUUGUGUGUACCCUAGAUGGAUUUGAAAAUUUCUUACUCUAUUCAUUUUACUGUUUUUGCGAGUUUGACAGUCACUUAACCUCCCCUCCCCCUUCCUUACUCUAUUCAUUUUACUCUUUUUGCGAGUUUGACAGUCACUUAACCUCCCCCCCCCUCUCUGCUAUAACUUUGCUGCUAAUACUUUCCGAACUCUGAUUGUCAUCACACUUCCAUCUGUUCUUGUGUGCAUAAGCUAGAAGGGAACUGUCCAAAGAACUCAACUUUCAAGACUCGUUCAAUAUCCUUUAAGGAAAAGCUCUAACCCGAUUUUCUAUUAAAGAAAAACCUUCCUAAACAUUUCCACGUAUCCUGUAAAGUCGAAAACGUGAUAUCGGUUUGUUUUAUCUGACAUUUUGUUUCAGAAUACAGUGUAUCGGCAAAUAAGAUGUGUUGACACGAAAUUAGAAUCGUCGCCCAUUUUUCUAUUAGAACCAUAAAAUCAAAACUAAACAUUUUGCGGUAUUCAAAGUUUCGGCGCUAAAUCUUCUAAUAGUAUUUUUCACUUGCUAAUAAUUAGAAGCCUACCUUAUAAGUUAGUCAAAAACAAAAUGUUUUCACUUCGCAACUUCAUUAACGAACAUACGGAUCUUUCUAAAUACAAGCAAAUUGUGAUUUACAAUAAAUUCAUCAAUACUGAACCAACUUGUGUAGCAGUAACCAAAUCAGUUUGUUUGUUUAAGAAAGGAAUUAAAAUAAUUCUGUUUACAGUUUAUUAUUUUCAGUCAACAUGUACUUACUAUAUUGUCAGUUUAUAGCAGUUGGUUAUAUUCCCAAGUAAAAGUGACUAAGUGCCAAUGUAAGCAACUUCAUUCCUUACACACACUGUCCAUUUUGACCAGAGCGCUAGUCUAGUCAACAUUUGGAUUAACAAUACAUUGAAUAUUACUUCAACAUAAUAUUCUACAAGCUGACUGUGAACAAAGUGAUCUUUGAAUAAAACUGAGCGGUGUUGUAACCUCAUUUUAUGACAUCAGCUUUAGAGUAGAAGCACCUUGUGGUCAAGAGGUAUUUAAAGUUUAUGCUGUAAUACAGGUUAUUGUGGACAAUGUAUUAUCAUGACUAAAAAUUGUCAUAUUCAUUUCGAACUAAUGUGUCUGUAAACAUUCAAAUACAAAUGACUAUAAGAAAAAUAUAUUAUUGGUAACAUAUUGCACAUGUGUUAAGCCAUGUUUCACUUGAAUUUAAGUAUAUAGAUUAGUUUCAUCAAGGUUUAUUAUAAAAAACUUAUGACCGACUUUGUGUAGUACAUAUACAUAUAUUAAGUACAUUUGCUAAUGGGUACAGGCCUACUUUUUAUUAUAGUAAGAGUACAAUAAUAUUUUCUAAGCAUUUCAUAUUGAAUUAAACUAAUACUUUAUAACAGAAUGUAUAUAGAAUUGUUAACACUUCCAAGGAGCAGAAAUUUGUUCAAACUUACACGUAAUUUGUUUGAUGUUUGCUUUUGUUAUCUGUCAGUCGCUUCUAGCAAAAACGGUUUAACUAAAAA